GGAGUGUCUUUCCAAGGCUACUCUAUCUGUAGUCUUGAUCCCUUUACCUGCUUGCCAUAAAUAUAUGUAGAAUAUAUUCCAACUUCCACCAACCUCUAUGAACCAUCUCUACCCUUCCUGUCUCUUCCCUGAACCACCAAAGAAUUCAAACAGCUUCCAUUUGCUCCUUCUCUCGUCUUUUUUUUUACCCAUAGUGUCAGUCCAUAAAGAAUUUUUGGCGGAAGAUAGACAGUGUUAGAAGUGCAGAUUCCCCAGGCUUUCACCCCUUCCUUGUUGAAAUCCAGAGGGUUGGCAUUUGUUAACCACUGCAAGAAGAUUUUGAUGAAGAUGUCUCACUCUGAGAAAUGCUGCUGAUCCAUUGCUGUGCCACUGAAAAUGCUCUCCUGAAGGAUACACAUCCUCCUCAUUGCCCUUACCUACAAUGUGAGCGGAUUCCUGGAAGACUUUUUUUUUUAUCUUUGUGCCUCUCCCAUGUAGUUGCAUAAUGACUUUGUAGAGGUUUAGCUCCAUCUUUCCACUAGCUUGUCUGAGUCACCACUUGAUGAAGGAUUGAAAACAACUCAGCAUGCAGUAGAAUGAAGCUUCCUAUUUCUUCAUUAAAGAUGGCCUCUGUCUCCUUGUCUCUCCCCCUCCUCUAAAAGUUUUUAUUUUAAAAUUUUUGAAUAGUGGCUAAAGGACUUGCUCCUUGAGGAAGUGGCUCCCCAGAAUCACUGGCUGUCACUUCAAAUGGAAGUGUGGAAAGGGGGAGGAUGAAAAGAAUAAAAUCCUUUAGAUCAAGAUUUUUGUGUGACUUCAGCCCUGCUCUUUGAAUGUUCUCUGGCAACCAGAAGCCUCUGCGCAGCCGUCUUCUGUGGCCACACUCCUUUCCCACUGGAGAUGGGGGCAAGUGUCUUACAUCGUCCUGCUGUUGCCAACCCCUCACAUCUAACAAGGAGCAGUUCUCUGCCAAAUACUGUGAUUUUUAUACUAAAUAAAGUACUCACCACAGUGAAUGCUUGUUUUGCCAGAACCUCAUAACCAUUGCUACAAAUCGACCUCAAAUCAGGACUUUUAGGUUCAGCUGAACAGGACAUGGAAUAAUAAUCCUAGCUAUCAUCCAGUCUUCAGGAAACCAUAGUAAAUGUGGUGGGCAUGUCUAAUAUAUAGUGCACAGUGGUUGAGGGUGCCGCCUUCAGAGAUGGAUGACUCUAGGUCUCAGUUCUGAUCCUCCCCAACCCUCAGCUUGGAUUAUAAUAUCCAAGCCUACCUCACUGCUGCUUGUCAGGAUUCAGUGAAGUUGAGAUAAUAGAUGCUAGAAAACAUGGUGCAAGACAUCCUGAGACACUGUGAGGUGGGUUCUGCCAGCAUUUGCCAGUUAAGAGAGUCCAUUAAGAGGUUGGAGAUGUUUGUGAUGAGGAUUUCUUUUGCAAGAGUUGACCCUCAUCCACCUCAAAAUGGAGGAGUGGUGCUUUUUCUUAUCUUUGUUUUUUUAAUUAAGAUAUAUAGACAUAGGUUUAGAUAUAUAAUUCUGAUGUAAUUCACAUAAAAUUCACUCAUUUAAAAUUAGUGACUUCUAGGAUAUCCAUAAAAUUGUGCA
rnacentral:lncRNA from 1 species